AAUUUAAGUUAUUACUGGAAAAACAAAACCGGUGGCGGUUGGAUAAAUGGUGGAAGAAACACAGAGAACAAAGACGUCAGCUUCUUCAACCACUUUCAUCCUCAGACUGUUACUAUGCUGUGCCUUUUGCAGGAUGAGGCCAUAGUCCCCAUCACCACCCAAUGCACUCUCAGUGGGUCUGGCCACACCUACCUGUAGAGCCAGAAGGCUUCAGCUCUAAGAGCCAGGGCUGGGUAAAGAGCUUAGUUCCCUAGCAACCUGCAUACAAGUGUUCCAGACAAAAUGGAUUACGUACUGCUGAUGAAUUCCAAGUGAAUAUCCUAUUGACCCAACAAAGGAGUUAAUUUGUACCUUCUGCCACACUACAGGGGUCAACUGAGAGAAUUCUUUUUGUCUAUGAUCCCUCCUGGCAUUCUCUUUGAAUUGUCAUGGUAAAAUAAAAAGCUCUGAUGGAGUCAAAAAGUGGAUGGUUCAACUUUCAAUUGCCUCGGAAAGAAAAGAGUCCUCGUAAUAGGAAGAAGAGGGCCUGUUUUUCCUCCUCUUAUUUUCUGAAUACAAUUUGGAUUGCCUAAAAUAAUACCUCGCCCAGGAAGAGUUAUUCCAGACACUCUGGGUAAUAGACAUAAACAGUCUGAUCACUUCACUAUAAGAUAACCAACUGCUGUUUUUUUCACACCUUGGUCUCUUGAGAUUUGGGUUUGUGUUCAUUAAUCCUCAGGAACCUAAUAUCCCCUGGGAACUAGGACAAAAUGAAGUUUCUGGAAGCCAACGGCCUGGGUCUGCCACUUCCAGCUAUGUGACCUCUCUUUGGGACCUCUCUAGGACCUCCCACCUAGAAGGUUGAUGUGAAGAUUAAACAAGUUAAUACAUGUAAAAUGCUUGACAUUAAACCUGGCAUUUAACAGGUACUACUAAACAACAGCAACAAUAAUAUAAAUUGUUGUUCUUUUUGUUAUUAUUGAUCCAAGGAUGACCCUGAAAUGGAAGGUGAUGUUAUUAUUGAUCCAAGGACGACCUAUCUCUCUCUCUCAUUUCUUGAAUUAGGAUGGCAGCCUCCAAAGUGAAACCACCAAGGGAGCAGUUCUAAGAUGUUCUUUACUGGAUCCAGGAACUUUUCUUUUCAUAUUGGGGAGUCAGCCCUAAUAUGUGACAUACAUCUCCCUCCCUCUCCCAGUGGCAAGAAGGAGACAAAAGGUCCAGCGAGAACCCACUGGACUCUUGGAUAAAUAAAAGCACUCAGAGAAACCGCAUGGAAGCUAAUGUCAAGGUGGCCCACUUGCACCACCGAAGCUCAAGCCACAGCAGGCCCACCUUCCUGGAUGCAGAGAGGAAACUGAACAGCCUACAGCAACUCUUCCUUCAGAAGUUCUCCUCCACCUCCUGACUUGCGGGUUGUUGAAGCAACCUCCACACAGAAAGAGAGAAAUAUAAACAGAAGGAGGCCGUUCUGCUGCAUGGAGGUGAAUGCUCUCUUUGGGCAUCGCUGGGCAAUGCUUUCUGGUUCACUUACCACUAACAUCAGCUCCACGGGAAGCCAAGCAUUUACUGGUGACCUGCAAGCCCCCAAAUUCAGGAUUUCUCUAUGGGAUGCCCUCGGAUACUGUGAACUUUAGAAAUCAUUUGGUUAAAGAAUAUUUUGUGACAACAGAAAUAACUUCAAAAUACCAUUUGGUGAGACAGUUGAAAAUAUGAUACCAAUUUAAAAAAUAUAUGUAUAGACAGAUAUGUAAUUUUAAACUGGAAAUAUAUACACCAAAAUGUUAGUAGUCGUUAGAACAAUUCUUCCGGUUCUUCUAUAAAUUUAUCACAAUUUGUACAAUUAACAAAUAUUCUUUGUCAUAAAUAAUAAUAAUUAUUAUUAUUAUUAUUUGGUGACACCACACAGUAUGUAGCAUGUUAGUUCCCUGACCAGGGAUUGAACCUGAGCACCCUGAAGUGGAAGCAUGGAGUCUUCUGGACCGCCAGGGAAAUUCCUUACUAUUAUUUUUAAAGGCCAAGGCCAAUGGUUUUUGGAGGAGAACAAAGCAAUGAAUUUACUACUAAAUCUCUGGGCAGGUGGCAAGGUGCCCCAUGAUGGCCACAGCAUGAUACACAGGGUACCUAGUAGAUGCUCAAUAAAUAGUGACUGAAUGGGCAGGUGUGAGGGCUGCAUCCUGCUCCAGCCCAUUUUGUAUAUGUUCCCUGCACCCAUGCCCCAUUCCUCCUCUCUCUUCUCUCACAGUUUCAGAAAACAGAAACGUUUCCAGAAACAGGCUGCAAGAUUGAGCUACUCUCACCAGCUUAAGGGGCAUUUUUUUUUUUAUUCCAAUCUCACUAAAUCUAGGUAAAACAGAGCUGUCACUCUUGAGACCCUUUCUGAUGUGUGUGACAGCACAUGGGGACUGGGGAGGGGGUUCGGAGAUGAGGAUAUGUGAUGCAGGGAACUUGGAUAGGAGGGAGGUGUUGGAGACAGAGUAACAGUAGGUGAACAACAAGGGUCAACAGGGCACCUUGAUGCCAAGCUGGGUUCCGAUACAGACUUGCAUGACUUCUCUGGGUCUCAGUUUUCUCACCCAUAGAAGGAAGUGACCUUACUUAUCUCACAGAGAUGUAAUCACAAAUGUGUAGGAUAGCUGAGCUAAAUGAAAUGAAGGCAAAAGUGACUGUCCCAUUUAAACGCAAAGUUUCCUUGGAAGAAGGAAGUUGCCUGAGGUAGCAGCAUCUUGGAUUACCCGUACAUUACUUCACGUUCACACAUACACACACAGGUAUCUCUCUGCCCCAGGGGGUACAUGAACCAUAAGGAACUCUACAGCCUUUCCUUUCAUCAUGCAGAAUGCAUCCUGUUAUGAUACCUCUGUGAAGCCUUCCUUGAUUAUGAAAACCGUGCUCUCUCCCUACCUGGGGUGGGCACCCCUGGGUCUGCUGCACACAGACAUACCCCUCCCCAUCACACACACACACACUCACGCUUCCUCUCCUCUCUCCUUCCUCCCCACUGCCUCCUCCAUCUCAGUCCCCACCAGCCCUCCACAGGCUUCAAGUGACCAGCAAUUAUAACCCCACUACUCUGACAGAAGACCUAAUCACAAAGUCUUGUAAGGCCCCAUAGUGAUGCAUACACUGCAGCCCU